GAAGUGUGGACGCCAGUCUGCAUGGAGCCGACCUUGAAAUACCACCCUUUAAUGUUUGAUGUUCUAACGUUGACCCGUAAUCCGGGUUGCGGACAGUGUCUGGUGGGUAGUUUGACUGGGGCGGUCUCCUCCUAAAGAGUAACGGAGGAGCACGAAGGUUGGCUAAUCCUGGUCGGACAUCAGGAGGUUAGUGCAAUGGCAUAAGCCAGCUUGACUGCGAGCGUGACGGCGCGAGCAGGUGCGAAAGCAGGUCAUAGUGAUCCGGUGGUUCUGAAUGGAAGGGCCAUCGCUCAACGGAUAAAAGGUACUCCGGGGAUAACAGGCUGAUACCGCCCAAGAGUUCAUAUCGACGGCGGUGUUUGGCACCUCGAUGUCGGCUCAUCACAUCCUGGGGCUGAAGUAGGUCCCAAGGGUAUGGCUGUUCGCCAUUUAAAGUGGUACGCGAGCUGGGUUUAGAACGUCGUGAGACAGUUCGGUCCCUAUCUGCCGUGGGCGCUGGAGAACUGAGGGGGGCUGCUCCUAGUACGAGAGGACCGGAGUGGACGCAUCACUGGUGUUCGGGUUGUCAUGCCAAUGGCACUGCCCGGUAGCUAAAUGCGGAAGAGAUAAGUGCUGAAAGCAUCUAAGCACGAAACUUGCCCCGAGAUGAGUUCUCCCUGAC
rnacentral:rRNA from 1 species